UUUCUCCUACGGGCGCAGCAGUAGGGAAUUUUCGUCAAUGGGCGCAAGCCUGAACGAGCAAUGCCGCGUGAACGAGGAAGGUCUUCGGAUCGUAAAGUUCUGUUGAAGGGGAAAAAGAGCGGAGAGAGGAAAUGGUCUCCGAUUGAUAUUACCCUUCGAGUAAGUCACGGCUAACUACGUGCCAGCAGCCGCGGUAAUACGUAGGUGGCGAGCGUUAUCCGUAAUGAUUGGGCGUAAAGGGUGCGUAGGCGGCCUGCUACGUCUGGAGUGAGAGGCACCGGCUCAACCGGUAUAGGCUCCGGAAA
rnacentral:rRNA from 1 species